rfam:Brachypodium distachyon strain Bd21 chromosome 4, whole genome shotgun sequence.
AAUCCAUGAUGUGGACACAUUCUGAGCAAAGUUUGAUAUCUAUUCCAAGCAUCAUGUAAACUCUCAUCACUAAACUGCACAAAGUUGUUUAUCUUAUCCCUGCAUU